rnacentral:rRNA from 1 species
GACGGAGGGGGCAAGCGUUGUUCGGAAUCACUGGGCGUAAAGCGCGCGUAGGCGGUUUGAUAAGUCGAAUGUGAAAGCCCGAGGCUCAACCUCGGAAGUGCAUUCGAAACUGUCAGGCUUGAGUACGGGAGAGGGAAGUUGAAUUCCUGGUGUAGAGGUGAAAUUCGUAGAUAUCAGGAGGAACACCGGUGGCGAAGGCGGCUUCCUGGACCGAUACUGACGCUGAGACGCGAAAGCGUGGGGAGCAAACAGG